UACGUAGGGUGCAAGCGUUAAUCGGAAUUACUGGGCGUAAAGCGUGCGCAGGCGGUUAUGCAAGACAGAUGUGAAAUCCCCGGGCUCAACCGGGGAACUGCAUCUGAUACUGGAUGGCUUGAGUUCGGGAGAGGGAUGUGGAAUUCCAGGUGUAGCGGUGAAAUGCGUAGAUAUCUGGAGGAACACCGGUGGCGAAGGCGGCAUCCUGGACCGACACUGACGCUGAUGAGCGAAAGCCAGGGGAGCAAACGGG
rnacentral:rRNA from 1 species